AACACACACACACACCCGACAUAUAUAAGGGGAAGUGUCAACCACUAACCAUCACACACUCACUAACCAUGUCUCUCAAGGUCGCCGUCCUCGCCUGCGUGGCUGUCGUCGCUCUGUGCGACAAGGCCCCAGUGUACGCCCCUCCUCCCCCCGCCUACGCCCCUGCACCCUACCACGCCCCUGAACCCGCCUACCACGCCCCCAAACACUACGAGCCCGAACACCCAGAAGUGCCCGCGAAGUACAACUACAACUACGGCGUCUCCGACGAGUACUCCGGCGCCAACUUCGG
rnacentral:lncRNA from 1 species